rnacentral:rRNA from 1 species
CGCGAUUCGCCCUUCGGGGUGCCCAGGCGCGAAAACUCCACAAUGUACGGAAGUACGAUGGGGUUAUCUCGAGUGCAGUCCGAUAAGGGCUGCUUUUCCAUAGAGUAAUAUCCUGUGGGAAUAAGAGGGGGGCAAGACUGGUGUCAGCCGCCGCGGUAACACCAGCCCCUCGAGUGGUGGGGACUAUUAUUUGGUCUAAAGCGUCCGUAGCUGGCUGUAUCCGUCCCCCGUUAAAUCCAGCGUCCUAAGCGUUGGACUGCGGGUGAUACCAUACAGCUAGAGGGUGGGAUAGGUGAGCGGUAUUUCUGGGGUAGGGGCGAAAUCCUUUGAUCCCAGGAGGACCACCAGUGGCGAAGGCUGCUCACUAGAACACGCCUGACGGUCAGGGACGAAAGCUGGGGCAGCGAACCGGAUUAGAUACCCGGGUAGUCCCAGCUGUAAACGAUGCUAGCUAGGUGUUGGGUCGGCCACGCGCCGCCCCAGUGCCGCAGGGAAGCCGUUAAGCUAGCCACCUGGGGAGUACGGCCGCAAGGCUGAAACUUAAAGGAAUUGGCGGGGGAGCAC